rnacentral:rRNA from 1 species
GAGGAAUAUUGGUCAAUGGACGCAAGUCUGAACCAGCCACGUCGCGUGAAGGAAGACUGCCUUAUGGGUUGUAAAAUUCUUUUAUACAGGAAUAAAAAAGGCGACGUGUCCCUUAUUGCAUGUACUGUAUGAAUGAGCAUCGGCUACCUCCGUGCCAGCAGCCGCGGUAAUACGGAGGAUGCGAGCGUUAUCCGGAUUUAUUGGGUUUAAAGGGUGCGCAGGCGGGCUUUUAAGUCAGCGGUGAAAUCUGGACGCUUAACGUCCAAACUGCCGUUGAAACUGGGAGUCUUGAGUAUGGAUGAAGUAGGCGGAAUUCGUUGUGUAGCGGUGACAUGCAUAGAUAUAACGAGGAACUCCGAUUGCGUAGGCAGCUUACUAAGCCAUAACUGACGCUCAUGCACGAAAGCGUGGGGAUCAAACA